AUGUGGCAUGGCCAGGUGCAGAGGUGUGUGCUGAGAGCAGUGCUGGAACGCGGGCGGUGCAUUUCAGUGGAUCGCAAGAGAAAGGGUCUCAGAGAGGGGAGGGGAGGAACUCAUUUUCCCAAGAGUUUGCUCUGCUGCAAUCAUUCCUCAAGCCUGGCCAGUCACAGAAAACCCAGUGCCCUUCCUGACUGCGCUGCGCUGGCUUCAGCUUUCCUCCCAAGGCUGCAGAAGAGGUCUCGUUCAAGGGCUCACGAUGGGUGCCUGUCCCCACUGACCAAAGUGGCUGCCCUGCUCUCUGCGCCCUGGGACUCCGUCUUUAACAAACUGCAGCAAACAAGUCUGAAGGCUUGGGCACGUGGCACCCCGGCCGCCGUGACCCCGCCAGGCCAGAGGAGUCUGCAGAGGGCUCCCAGUUCCGUCGUGGGCGUCCCACCAGCUGCUCUCGUCGAGGGUAAGCACCACAGGACCGCGGCGGCAGUUAAGUGUGAAAGCCAUGCAUCGAUGUGA
rnacentral:lncRNA from 1 species